rnacentral:rRNA from 1 species
UGUGUAGGCGGUUGCGCAAGUCUGGUGUGAAAUCUUCAUCGCUCAACGGGAAGAGGUCACUGGAAACUGCGUGACUCGAGUAUGGUAGAGGCAAGCGGAAUUCCUGGUGUAGCGGUGGAAUGUGUAGAUAUCAGGAAGAACAUCUGUGGCGAAGGCGGCUUGCUGGGCCAUCACUGACGCUGAGACACGAAAGCGUGGGGAGCAAACGGGAUUAGAUACCCCGGUAGUCCACGCCUUAAACGGUGCGCACUAGGUGUGGGAGGUAUCGACCCCUCCUGUGCCGAAGUUAACACAUUAAGUGCGCCGCCUGGGGAGUACGGCCGCAAGGUUGAA